AGGGUUCGAUUAUGGCUCAGGAUGAACGCUAGCGGCAGGCUUAACACAUGCAAGUCGAGGGGUAACAGGGAUUGCUUGCAAUCCGCUGACGACCGGCGCACGGGUGCGUAACGCGUAUGCAACCUACCUUCUACAGGGGAAUAGUCAAUAGAAAUGUUGAAUAAUACCCCAUACGAUCUUUGAAUAGCAUUAUUUAGAGAAGAAAGUUCCGGCGGUAGAAGAUGGGCAUGCGUCCUAUUAGUUAGUUGGAGAGGUAACGGCUCCCCAAGACAUCGAUAGGUAGGGGUCCUGAGAGGGAGACCCCCCACACUGGUACUGAGACACGGACCAGACUCCUACGGGAGGCAGCAGUGAGGAAUAUUGGACAAUGGAGGCAACUCUGAUCCAGCCAUGCCGCGUGCAGGAAGACUGCCCUAUGGGUUGUAAACUGCUUUUAUACAGGAAGAAAUGUACCUACGUGUAGGUAUUUGACGGUACUGUACGAAUAAGGAUCGGCUAACUCCGUGCCAGCCGCCGCGGUAAUAC
rnacentral:rRNA from 1 species